rnacentral:rRNA from 1 species
AAAAUACUAAAAUAGUAGGUAAUUAUUUAUUGAAACUUAAAUAAUUUGGCGGUAUUUUAGUUCAUUUAGAGGAAUCUGUUUAAUAAUUGAUAAUCCACGAAUAAAUUUACUUAAUUUAGAAUUUUAUAUAUCGUUGUUAUAAAAAUAUUUUUUAAUAAAAUUAAUAUUUAAAAAUUAAAAUUAAAAUUUAAAUCAGAUCAAGAUGUAGAUUAUAAUUAAGAAUAUAAUGGAUUACAAUAAAUUUAUUUAAAUGAAUAUUAAUUUGUAAAAAUUAAUUGAAGGUGGAUUUAAAUGUAAUUUUAUUUAAUUUAAUAUAAUGAUUAAAAAUUAAAAUAUGU